rnacentral:rRNA from 1 species
AUGAACGCUGGCGGCGUGCCUAAUACAUGCAAGUCGAGCGAACGGACGAGAAGCUUGCUUCUCUGAUGUUAGCGGCGGACGGGUGAGUAACACGUGGAUAACCUACCUAUAAGACUGGGAUAACUUCGGGAAACCGGAGCUAAUACCGGAUAAUAUUUUGAACCGCAUGGUUCAAAAGUGAAAGACGGUCUUGCUGUCACUUAUAGAUGGAUCCGCGCUGCAUUAGCUAGUUGGUAAGGUAACGGCUUACCAAGGCAACGAUGCAUAGCCGACCUGAGAGGGUGAUCGGCCACACUGGAACUGAGACACGGUCCAGACUCCUACGGGAGGCAGAAGUAGGGAAUCUUCCGCAAUGGGCGAAAGCCUGACGGAGCAACGCCGCGUGAGUGAUGAAGGUCUUCGGAUCGUAAAACUCUGUUAUUAGGGAAGAACAUAUGUGUAAGUAACUGUGCACAUCUUGACGGUACCUAAUCAGAAAGCCACGGCUAACUACGUG